rnacentral:misc_RNA from 1 species
GAUGAAGAACGUAGCGAAAUGCGAUAAGUAAUGUGAAUUGCAGAAUUCAGUGAAUCAUCGAAUCUUUGAACGCACAUUGCGCCCGCCAGUAUUCUGGCGGGCAUGCCUGUUCGAGCGUCAUUACAACCCUCAGGCCCCCGGGCCUGGCGUUGGGGAUCGGCGGAAGCCCCCUGCGGGCACAACGCCGUCCCCCAAAUACAGUGGCGGUCCCGCCGCAGCUUCCAUUGCGUAGUAGCUAACACCUCGCAACUGGAGAGCGGCGCGGCCACGCCGUAAAACACCCAACUUCUGAAUGUUGACCUCGAAUCAGGUAGGAAUACCCACUGAAUUUAAGCAUAUCAAUAAGCGGAGGA